GCUGGAAUGGUCUAGCUGAUUAUGACGACUGUCUGACAAGCAGUAGGUCCCGAGUUCGACUCUCGGCUCCAGUA
rnacentral:tRNA from 1 species